rnacentral:sRNA from 1 species
UUGCGUUAGGGAUUGCAGCGAUAUCCUUUUUUUAAUAAGUAACAGCGUUAGCAGUUUCUUAUUAAAAAAAGAUUUAGCGUAAAGCCCGACCUUUA